rnacentral:rRNA from 1 species
AUUGAACGCUGGCGGCAUGCCUUACACAUGCAAGUCGAACGGCAGCACGGGGCAACCUGGUGGCGAGUGGCGAGCGGGUGAGUAAUGCAUCGGAACGUACCUUUCAGUGGGGGAUAACGUAGCGAAAGUUACGCUAAUACCGCAUAUUCUGUGAGCAGGAAAGCAGGGGAUCGCAAGACCUUGCGCUGAUUGAGCGGCCGAUGUCAGAUUAGCUAGUUGGUGAGGUAAAGGCUCACCAAGGCGACGAUCUGUAGCGGGUCUGAGAGGAUGAUCCGCAAGACUGGAACGGAGACACGGUCCAGACUCCUACGGGAGGCAGCAGUGGGGAAUUUUGGGCAAUGGGGGCAACCCUGAUCCAGCCAUGCCGCGUGAGUGAAGAAGGCCUUCGGGUUGUAAAGCUCUUUCGGCCGGGAAGAAAUCGCACGGGCUAAUACCCUGUGUGGAUGACGGUACCGGAAUAAGAAGCACCGGCUAACUACGUGCCAGCAGCCGCCGUAA